UGACUGUCGAUGUAUAAACCUAGAUUUU
rnacentral:sRNA from 1 species